rnacentral:snoRNA from 1 species
GGAUAGGACCAGUGCUACCCAUAAAGAGCUAUUCGACUCAUAGUGUCCCAUGCCAGAGCAAACUGUGGCCCCAAACCAUUGCCUGGCCUGUGUCCGUAGGCUCCUGGCACUGAAGUGGGUUGCACAGUA